rnacentral:rRNA from 1 species
CACGUAGGGCGCAAGCGUUGUCCGGAAUUAUUGGGCGUAAAGAGCUUGUAGGCGGUUUGUCGCGUCUGCUGUGAAAAUCCGGGGCUCAACCCCGGACUUGCAGUGGGUACGGGCAGGCUAGAGUGUGGUAGGGGAGACUGGAAUUCCUGGUGUAGCGGUGGAAUGCGCAGAUAUCAGGAGGAACACCGAUGGCGAAGGCAGGUCUCUGGGCCACUACUGACGCUGAGAAGCGAAAGCAUGGGGAGCGAACAGG